UAAAAAUAAUUGUCAAUCAACAAUAAAAGGAAAAAAAGUCAGAACACACAAUAAUUCUCUUUUCUUCUUCAAUAUAAAUUAUUUUCCGUU
rnacentral:ribozyme from 1 species